UAGUUCCUUCAGUGAUACUCACUGUAGAAGAAGACUCAAAACUGACAAGUGGAACAAUUUGAGGCAUACCAACUACCGGCAUAAACAUAAUUGCUAUAUUAAAAAGAGCUGCAAGACUAUGCACAAAUACAGGAAUGCUGUCAUUAUGAGAGAAACAAUUAAAGAAUCUGGUAAAUUACUAAGCUAUACACACAUACAUAGAACUAUAUACAGUGUAUAAUUAUACUUGGCCCUGUCUCAUGUGAUUUGAACAGUCAUGAUGUAUGGUAGCUGGCAUGUAAGAGUUGGCAAAACCUUAAAUUACACUAUUAGGUUUCAGAUUCAAAGAAAGUGUCCACUUUAUCAUUGUUGAGAGAACUACACUUUACAAUACUUUGGUAUGGAGUUAUAUCAUAGAUCUACUGGUUCAUAAAAAUUAUUAUUAUCAUUAAUAAACUAAUAAAAUAUCAUUGUACAUCAGACACUUAUAUAGUCUUUAAUAUUUAUGAUCAGAUAGAGAACAGAGUAUAACAGAUCAAUACUAAACUCACACUAGACCCUGUGAUGUGAACGGUCAUGUAUGGUUUGCUGGGAGUUGGCAAAACAUUAAAUUAAAAUGUUUACCCAUAGCCUGCUAUGUAAAACAUUAUAAUGCAUAUCAAGUUUCUAGUCAGCAUUGUUGCUGUUUUUUAUAGUUCUGGUAGGUUAGUCCUUAAUAUGUGUGUGAGAGAGAGAUGCACUGCAUGGCAAUAAUAAUAUAAAUUAUAGGAAAUAUAUAAUUUGAAAACUUGAAAACAGCAUUAAAAUGUUUUAAUUUGCACAAACAGAAUAACGUAAGUACUGACUUAUUGAUACAUGUAUGCACCCUAUUUAUGAAAUCUUUAUGAUAAACAUUGACAACUACAGUAUAGAUCUAGUUUUUAUGUCUGCUGAUAAAUUAUGAGCUGAUUCCAAGAGGCAUGCUUGCAAGCUAAUGUAACAAUGUGAUUUUUACAGAAGGAAAAAAGGAAGAGGAGGAGGUGGAGGAGCUGUACCACAACCUCAAAAAUCUAAACUAAAGGAGAAGUUUUUUUAGAAGAAGGAAACUGGACUUUUCAAAAGAGAAAUAAAUCACUUUUAGAGAAUGCCAGGAAGAGAUGUAUUGCUAAACACGGACAGUGAAGUUAAUUUAUUAUUAAUAUUUUGUGAGGGAGAGACAGAAAGAAUGUCCAUUAGUAAAUACAUACACAUACACUGACUUGUGUAUUGUCUGAUGAAUAGUUUACAAUAAUAA